rnacentral:rRNA from 1 species
AUUGAACGCUGGCGGCAUGCCUUACACAUGCAAGUCGAACGGUAACGGGCCUUCGGGUGCCGACGAGUGGCGAACGGGUGAGUAAUACAUCGGAACGUGCCCGAUCGUGGGGGAUAACGAGGCGAAAGCUUUGCUAAUACCGCAUACGAUCUACGGAUGAAAGCAGGGGACCGCAAGGCCUUGCGCGGACGGAGCGGCCGAUGGCAGAUUAGGUAGUUGGUGGGAUAAAAGCUUACCAAGCCGACGAUCUGUAGCUGUUCUGAGAGGAUGAUCAGCCACACUGGGACUGAGACACGGCCCAGACUCCUACGGGAGGCAGCAGUGGGGAAUUUUGGACAAUGGGCGCAAGUCUGAUCCAGCCAUGCCGCGUGCAGGAUGAAGGCCUUCGGGUUGUAAACUGCUUUUGUACGGAACGAAAAGCCUUCUUUUAAUACAGGAGGGUCAUGACGGUACCGUAAGAAUAAGCACCGGCUAACUACGUG